GUCGUCAGCUCGUGUCGUGAGAUGUUGGGUUAAGUCCCGCAACGAGCGCAACCCCUAUUGCUAGUUACCAUCAUUAAGUUGGGGACUCGUAGCGAGACUGCCAGUGAUAACUGGAGGAAGGUGGGGAUGACGUCAAAUCAUCAUGCCCCUUAUGACCUGGGCUACAAACGUGAUACAAUGGCUGGAACAAAGGGAUGCGAAGCAGUGAUGUGGAGCGAAACCCAUAAAAACAGUCUCAGUUCGGAUUGAAGUCUGCAACUCGACUUCAUGAAGUCGGAAUCGCUAGUAAUCGCGGAUCAGAACGCCGCGGUGAAUACGUUCUCGGGGUUU
rnacentral:rRNA from 1 species